rnacentral:rRNA from 1 species
CUUCCCUUUGGUUCGGAAUAACAAGAGGAAACUUUUGCUAAUACCGGAUAAGUCUUUACGGAGAAAGCUUUAUGCGCCAUUGGAUGAGCCUGCACUUGAUUAGUUAGUUGGUGGGGUAAAGGCCUACCAAGACAAUGAUCAAUAGCUGAUUUGAGAGGAUGAUCAGCCACAUUGGGACUGAGACACGGCCCAAACUCCUACGGGAGGCAGCAGUAGGGAAUCUUGCACAAUGGGGGAAACCCUGAUGCAGCGAUGCCGCGUGAGUGAAGAAGGCCUUUGGGUUGUAAAGCUCUUUCGUCGGGGAAGAAAAUGACUGUACCCGAAUAAGAAGGUCCGGCUAACUUCGUGCCAGCAGCCGCGGUAAUACGAAGGGACCUAGCGUAGUUCGGAAUUACUGGGCUUAAAGAGUUCGUAGGUGGUUAAAAAAGUUGGUGGUGAAAUCCCAGAGCUUAACUCUGGAACUGCCAUCAAAACUUUUUAGCUAGAGUAUGAUAGAGGAAAGCAGAAUUUCUAGUGUAGAGGUGAAAUUCGUAGAUAUUAGAAAGAAUACCGAUUGCGAAAGGCAGCUUUCUGGAUCAUUACUGACACUGAGGAACGAAAGCAUGGGUAG